UUUAUUGAACCCAAAUAGAGGUAUUCCCUGUUAAGGAUAUUAUGAAUAAUUUUCCAAUUAAG
rnacentral:tRNA from 1 species